rnacentral:rRNA from 1 species
UACGUAGGGCGCAAGCGUUAUCCGGAAUUAUUGGGCGUAAAGAGCUCGUAGGCGGUUUGUCGCGUCUGCCGUGAAAGUCCGGGGCUCAACUCCGGAUCUGCGGUGGGUACGGGCAGACUAGAGUGAUGUAGGGGAGACUGGAAUUCCUGGUGUAGCGGUGAAAUGCGCAGAUAUCAGGAGGAACACCGAUGGCGAAGGCAGGUCUCUGGGCAUUAACUGACGCUGAGGAGCGAAAGCAUGGGGAGCGAACAGGAUUAGAACCGUCCGAGU